UGAUGAAAGGGUAUAUUUGUCAAACCCUAUGAUUAGUGUUAUACAAUUUAAGGGUAAAUAAGUGAAUCUGUAACAACAAAUAACACAAAGAACCAAUAAAGGUUCGGUUCACACUAAUCAAUUCCAAAGAGAAACAAAGUUUCUCUCUCCAAUCAAACCCUUUCUUUGAUAUAUAUAUAUACCUUCGGUCAAACCAACAAAAGCCAAUUCAAAACUCCCUUUUUCACAGUAUAGGUUCGGCCCACAAGACUAAAGAAACCCUAUGUCUUAACCCUAAUAUAUAAUGUAAUGACACAAACCCUAAUAUUCACUAUCACGGCAGCCACACUUUCUCAAAGAAAUAUUCAAAAUAUUUCAAACUCUAUUCUCUCUUUCCUUCUAACGGCAGCAAAGAAAAUUUUUGGGUUAGGGUUACAAAAAUUUUCCUUUCUCUUCUUCUUCUUCUCUUGGUCUUAGGGUUUCUAGGGUUCUAAAACUUUAUUUUUCCUUCUUGCUUUCUCACAGCCGAAUCUACUACUAGAGAUUUCUUCAAGCUUUCUUCUUUUUCUCUACUAAUGGCAGCAAUGAAAUGGUUCUAAGGUUAGGGUUCUUCAAGAUAUUUCUUUUCUUCUUUGCAGCCUCUACCCGAACCAAGAACAACCCAAACAACCCACAAAGCUUCUACCCGAAACUAUGCCUAGAAAACUCACUCACUCAAAACCGAACCCCUAAAAAAAUAUCCCUUUAAUUUAUACCCUUUAUAUUCCGAUUAUACCCUUACGUAAUGAAAAAACUUUCCUCACCUCACUAAACAGUACCUUAUGUGAGGGUAUAAUCAGUAAUUGAGUUAUAAAAUUUCAAUUGAAUUUAAAAUAAGAUUAUUUUUGGUUAACUGAUAAAAAAAAAGGGAAAUUUACAUAGUAUACUAACUUUUGUCAUUUUUUUACAAAAAUACUGCUAGGCGGUAUUUUUUACUUUUUUACUGUGUUUUUUUAUAAGUUCCAUACUGCAGUAUACUAUGUUAAGUUUUCACUGGUGUUGUACUGGUGUUUUACUGGUGUUCUACUGUUGUUUUGAGUUGUUCUGCUUUGUGUUUUACUGGUGUUUUAUAAAAACACAGUAUUUUUGUAAAAAUUUCCAUGUGACAGUAUUUUUGUAAAAGUUAACCUAAAUUCCAGUAUUACUAUUAUUAUUAUUAUUUUAUUAUUUUAUUAUUAUUAAUAAUACUUUGCUUAUAAAUUUUAUUUAUCUUAAUUCUUUUGUUAUGGAGAUCAAUUUUAUUU